rnacentral:rRNA from 1 species
GGAUCCAGACUUUGAUCCUGGCUCAGGAUGAACGCUAGCUACAGGCUUAACACAUGCAAGUCGAGGGGCAGCGGGAUUGAAGCUUGCUUCAAUUGCCGGCGACCGGCGCACGGGUGAGUAACGCGUAUCCAACCUUCCGUACACUCAGGGAUAGCCUUUCGAAAGAAAGAUUAAUACCUGAUGGUAUGAUGAGAUUGCAUGUUAGCAUCAUUAAAGAUUUAUCGGUGUACGAUGGGGAUGCGUUCCAUUAGGUAGUAGGCGGGGUAACGGCCCACCUAGCCAACGAUGGAUAGGGGUUCUGAGAGGAAGGUCCCCCACAUUGGAACUGAGACACGGUCCAAACUCCUACGGGAGGCAGCAGUGAGGAAUAUUGGUCAAUGGACGAGAGUCUGAACCAGCCAAGUAGCGUGAAGGAUGAAGGUCCUACGGAUUGUAAACUUCUUUUAUAAGGGAAUAAACCCUCCCACGUGUGGGAGCUUGUAUGUACCUUAUGAAUAAGCAUCGGCUAACUCCGUGCCAGCAGCCGCGGUAAUACGGAGGAUGCGAGCGUUAUCCGGAUUUAUUGGGUUUAAAGGGAGCGCAGACGGGUCGUUAAGUCAGCUGUGAAAGUUUGGGGCUCAACCUUAAAAUUGCAGUUGAUACUGGCGUCCUUGAGUGCGGUUGAGGUGUGCGGAAUUCGUGGUGUAGCGGUGAAAUGCUUAGAUAUCACGAAGAACUCCGAUUGCGAAGGCAGCACACUAAUCCGUAACUGACGUUCAUGCUCGAAAGUGUGGGUAUCAAACAGGAUUAGAUACCCUGGUAGUCCACACGGUAAACGAUGGAUACUCGCUGUUGGCGAUAUACUGUCAGCGGCUUAGCGAAAGCGUUAAGUAUCCCACCUGGGGAGUACGCCGGCAACGGUGCAACUCAAAUGAAUUGACGG